rnacentral:lncRNA from 1 species
ACGAAUCAAUCAAGUUUCUACUAAAACAGAACUAUAGAAUCAGUCCGUCCGGUUAAGCAUUGGGGAGCUGAUAGGUCGAACGGAGUGGUGCCAGAGCUCUAAAGUGGCUCUAAAUAUCCAUUUCUUUGAUUUUCCUGUGUGAUUUUUAGGCGGCUAUCUAUAUUAGCCAGAAAGCACUUACAUUUGAGACCGGGCACUUCGUCAUCAGGUGGAGAAGAACGAACGGACAUUUCCGAUCUUUUGUAUUCGAUUCGGAUCUCUA